AGUGAACGCUGGCGGUAGGCCUAACACAUGCAAGUCGAACGGCAGCACAGUAAGAGCUUGCUCUUACGGGUGGCGAGUGGCGGACGGGUGAGGAAUACAUCGGAAUCUACUUUUUCGUGGGGGAUAACGUAGGGAAACUUACGCUAAUACCGCAUACGACCUACGGGUGAAAGCAGGGGAUCUUCGGACCUUGCGCGAUUGAAUGAGCCGAUGUCGGAUUAGCUAGUUGGCGGGGUAAAGGCCCACCAAGGCGACGAUCCGUAGCUGGUCUGAGAGGAUGAUCAGCCACACUGGGACUGAGACACGGUCCAGACUCCUACGGGAGGCAGCAGUGGGGAAUAUUGGACAAGGGGCGCAAGCCUGAUCCAGCCAUACCGCGUGGGUGAAGAAGGCCUUCGGGUGGUAAAGCCCUUUUGUUGGGAAAGAAAAGCAGCAGGUUAAUACCCCGCUGUUCUGACGGUACCCAAAGAAUAAGCACCGGCUAACUUCGU
rnacentral:rRNA from 1 species